GGCUCGGUGGUCUAAGGUAUGAUUCUCUCUUGUUGUGCGAGAGUUUCCGGGUUCAAAUCCCGAUCGAGCACG